rnacentral:rRNA from 1 species
UACGUAGGGGGCAAGCGUUGUCCGGAUUUAUUGGGCGUAAAGCGCGUGUAGGCGGCUAGGUAGGUCCGCUGUGAAAACUUGAGGCUCAACCUCAAGAGGUCGGUGGAAACCAUCUGGCUAGAGUCCGGAAGAGGAGAAUGGAAUUCCUGGUGUAGCGGUGAAAUGCGUAGAUAUCUGGAGGAACACCGGUGGCGAAGGCGGCAUCCUGGACCGAUAUUGACGCUGAUGCGCGAAAGCCAGGGGAGCAAACGGG